rnacentral:rRNA from 1 species
GAUGAACGCUAGCUACAGGCUUAACACAUGCAAGUCGAGGGGAAACGGCAUUAAGUGCUUGCACUUUUUGGACGUCGACCGGCGCACGGGUGAGUAACGCGUAUCCAACCUUCCCAUGACUAAGGGAUAACCUGCCGAAAGGCAGACUAAUACCUUAUGGUCUUCACUGACGGCAUCAGAUGUGAAGUAAAGAUUUAUCGGUUAUGGAUGGGGAUGCGUCUGAUCAGCUUGUUGGCGGGGUAACGGCCCACCAAGGCAACGAUCAGUAGGGGUUCUGAGAGGAAGGUCCCCCACAUUGGAACUGAGACACGGUCCAAACUCCUACGGGAGGCAGCAGUGAGGAAUAUUGGUCAAUGGGCGAGAGCCUGAACCAGCCAAGUAGCGUGCAGGAUGACGGCCCUAUGGGUUGUAAACUGCUUUUGUAUGGGGAUAAAGUCAAUCACGUGUGAUUGUUUGCAGGUACCAUACGAAUAAGGACCGGCUAAUUCCGUGCCAGCAGCCGCGGUAAUACGGAAGGUCCGGGCGUUAUCCGGAUUUAUUGGGUUUAAAGGGAGCGUAGGCUGGAGAUUAAGUGUGUUGUGAAAUGUAGACGCUCAACGUCUGACUUGCAGCGCAUACUGGUUUCCUUGAGUACGCACAACGUUGGCGGAAUUCGUCGUGUAGCGGUGAAAUGCUUAGAUAUGACGAAGAACUCCGAUUGCGAAGGCAGCUGACGGGAGCGCAACUGACGCUGAAGCUCGAAGGUGCGGGUAUCGAACAGG